GUCGCCUUAAGGCUAUGUGUUAUAUAGCUUUUCCGCGAGCCUACCCUUGCCUUCGUAAUGAUGGGGUCACAGGUUCGAGUCCUGUAAGCGGCA
rnacentral:tRNA from 1 species